UGUUUUCCCCUCCACGCGCGCGCGCGCGCACAGGCACACACACCACGCAUGCAGGCACAUACCCACACACCCCCCACUCUGGCUUUCUCUCUUCUUCUCCCUCAUGCACACGCACUCACUUUCAUACACACACACACACACACACAAACACACACACACACACACAUGCACACGACGUUCCCUGCCGUAGUGUGUGGUUGUCGGUGCAGCGAGUUACGUGUGAAAAGUUGUCUGCGGCAUGUGUGACACGCGAGGAGAUUCCUGCCAACGUCAGGGCCCUUUUUUGCCAUGCAGCAACAAGUGGCAGAAUCAAUGGUGUACAGUUAUUCAGCAAUGUAAUUCAUUUCACUGGCUUUGGCUCCCAGCCAGAUCCGCCAUCUGUCUCUUGCUCUCCCUCUCUCUCUCUCGCCUGAAUUUGUCCUACAUUUCGUAAUGUUACGUGCUUACCAUCCUUAUUCUAUGCCAGAGGUACAACACAAGCCUCACCCCCGUUCCAGCGUGGAGUUCUGUGAGUUCGGUGGCACUUUGGAUAUUCCACUUCAGUGCCAUAGGAAGAAAGGGGUAAGCAAAAAACAGAGGGAUAGCUGCAAGGAGAACGGUGCUCUUCUAUCUGAAAGCCAGUGCCUCCGCUUUUUAUUUAAAGCAUUGAUAUGGAUCUGUCUCACAUGGGAACUUUCUCUGCUUCGUUAGAGUAUCUUCGUUUUCUUUAUUGGAUGCUGGCACUGUACGCCACUGCACAGCUCUGUGGAAUGCCUGCUGUUGGAUACUUGCAGAUCCCUGCCACCAAGCAACCUCCUGCAUUGGAAAUCGGGUGACUACUCCAGGAUCUUAUGCGUGCUUGCUGUUUGAAGCUGCAGAAAAGUGAAUAAUCAAUUAAGUAUUGAUUUCUUGUAAGAUUUGGUAAAUUUCAAAGGCAAGACAAAGAGGAUGGCUUAAGGAAAGCACUGCAGGGACUUGGCGUAAAUUAGACAACUAACAGCAGUGCAGAAUAAAAUAACACCUCAACUGAAUAUUUCCUUGGAAGAAUUAGCACUAGCUAUUGGAAGACGAUGGUGGAUUUAAUCAAGACGGCAAGCACGCUUGAGUUUUAACCGUGAACCUGAAAGAGGAGCUAAUUAUAACCACCUUUUUAUAUGGAGCUAAUUUGACUGAAUGGAUGCAAAUGUGCUUUAUUUAUGGAUGAAGAAGCAAGCCUUACAGCAUUGACUUUGGGAUCAUCGCAUAUGCUAAGCUUUACAGCUUCUCUAAAAGUCAAGCCUACAGUACAUUUUUAUUUACUGAGAAGGUAUUUAUAUGUAAGCAUAAGCUAGCCGUACAAAAGAUUCAUCAGAACAAUGUACUGUGGCACUGAGGAUCUAAUUAUAAUUUUGCAGCAUUUCAUGUUUUCUCUAAUUUGGUGCUUUUCAACCCUUGCUUGUGAUGGGCUAUAAAUGGGACAAUAAAUGUAUGAUUUAAACUAUUGUGAUUUUCAUUGUAUAGGUUAUUAAUCGGAGUGUAGUUUUCUUAACGUGUUUCUGAAUUAUUCAGCAGUAAUUUAUAAUGAAAGAAGCAGAAAUGGUGGGGUGGUUUUAAAUUCAUUUAUAAUCUUCUUACAGAUCUAAAUGUACAGGUUCUACCAGCCGAUGAGCUCUGUAAUUAUGAAAGAAUGUUAAAAUUUUCAGAUAAAUGGGGCACUGACUUUACAAUGGGCACAAUAUUGUAUAAUCAUUAAAAGGAGGAUUGUUAUGUUUUGACUCUGUGGAGAAUGGUCUUGGUUAGUUAACUCCUUCUAUGCUGAUAAUGACUCAAAGGGGACAGAAAUUAUUUUUAAAAGAAGCAAAUAUGCUAACAUGCAAACCAGUAGAAAAUAGACUGACACUCAGAAGUGGCUUUUGCACUGGCUUUUUAUAAAUAAUAAGAGUAAAAUCUUUCUUUCUAAGGUGAAACUUCGACGCCUUAUGGUUUCCACAGUGGUAUGCCUUUUGAGACAUUGCAUCUGUAAUCUCUGUGCACGUUGCAGUAAUUUACAAUUAACAAUUGAAGUUUUUGUGCAAGAUUUUCUAGUUUUGCUGAAGACUUUGCUGGGAGAGUGUAAUCCACUGAAAUGUGCUAUAUGCCCUACUUUGGCAAUCCAAUAAAAAGUUCAUGUUUUCCUUAAUAAAAUAAAUAUGCUUUCAGUACCAAGAGCUUUCACAUGGCAAAGCUUUUAAUUUAAUUGCCUGGAUUGAGUUAGCUAUUUUCAGUUUCAAGCAGUCUUUCGAUUACUGAAGACAAAAUUGUAAUAACUAUAAAUAUUGUUAGAUAAUGAAUAAACUGGAUAUGCACAAAAAUCCCUCAGA